rnacentral:rRNA from 1 species
GAUGAACGCUGGCGGCGUGCCUAAUACAUGCAAGUCGAGCGAACAGAUGAGGAGCUUGCUCCUCUGACGUUAGCGACGGACGGGUGAGUAACACGUGGAUAACCUACCUAUAAGACUGGGAUAACUUCGGGAAACCGGAGCUAAUACCGGAUAAUAUAUUGAACCGCAUGGUUCAAUAGUGAAAGACGGUUUUGCUGUCACUUAUAGAUGGAUCCGCGCCGCAUUAGCUAGUUGGUAAGGUAACGGCUUACCAAGGCGACGAUGCGUAGCCGACCUGAGAGGGUGAUCGGCCACACUGGAACUGAGACACGGUCCAGACUCCUACGGGAGGCAGCAGUAGGGAAUCUUCCGCAAUGGGCGAAAGCCUGACGGAGCAACGCCGCGUGAGUGAUGAAGGUCUUCGGAUCGUAAAACUCUGUUAUUAGGGAAGAACAAAUGUGUAAGUAACUAUGCACGUCUUGACGGUACCUAAUCAGAAAGCCACGGCUAACUACGUG